rnacentral:rRNA from 1 species
GGUUAAGCGACUAAGCGUACACGGUGGAUGCCCUGGCAGUCAGAGGCGAUGAAGGGCGUGCUAAUCUGCGAUAAGCGCCGGUAAGGUGAUAUGAACCGUUAUAACCGGCGAUACCCGAAUGGGGAAACCCAGUGUGAUUCGUCACACUAUCAUUAACUGAAUCCAUAGGUUAAUGAGGCGAACCGGGGGAACUGAAACAUCUAAGUACCCCGAGGAAAAGAAAUCAACCGAGAUUCCCCCAGUAGCGGCGAGCGAACGGGGAGGAGCCCAGAGCCUGAAUCAGCAUGUGUGUUAGUGGAAGCGUCUGGAAAGGCGCGCGAUACAGGGUGACAGCCCCGUACACAAAAGCGCAUGUGCUGUGAGCUCGAUGAGUAGGGCGGGACACGUGUGUGACUGCGUACCUUUUGUAUAAUGGGUCAGCGACUUAUAUUCUGUAGCAAGGUUAACCGAAUAGGGGAGCCGGAGGGAAACCGAGUCUUAAYYGGGCGUUAAGUUGCAGGGUAUAGACCCGAAACCCGGUGAUCUAGCCAUGGGCAGGUUGAAGGUUGGGUAACACUAACUGGAGGACCGAACCGACUAAUGUUGAAAAAUUAGCGGAUGACCUGUGGCUGGGGGUGAAAGGCCAAUCAAACCGGGAGAUAGCUGGUUCUCCCCGAAAGCUAUUUAGGUAGCGCYUCGUGAAUUCAUCUCCGGGGGUAGAGCACUGUUUCGGCUAGGGGGCCAUCCCGGCUUACCAACCCGAUGCAAACUGCGAAUACCGGAGAAUGUUAUCACGGGAGACACACGGCGGGUGCUAACGUCCGUCGUGAAGAGGGAAACAACCCAGACCGCCAGCUAAGGUCCCAAAGUCAUGGUUAAGUGGGAAACGAUGUGGGAAGGCCCAGACAGCCAGGAUGUUGGCUUAGAAGCAGCCAUCAUUUAAAGAAAGCGUAAUAGCUCACUGGUCGAGUCGGCCUGCGCGGAAGAUGUAACGGGGCUAAACCAUGCACCGAAGCUGCGGCAGCGACRCUGAUGYGUUGUUGGGUAGGGGAGCGUUCUGUAAGCCUGCGAAGGUGGCCUGUGAGGGUUGCUGGAGGUAUCAGAAGUGCGAAUGCUGACAUAAGUAACGAUAAAGCGGGUGAAAAGCCCGCUCGCCGGAAGACCAAGGGUUCCUGUCCAACGUUAAUCGGGGCAGGGUGAGUCGACCCCUAAGGCGAGGCCGAAAGGCGUAGUCGAUGGGAAACGGGUUAAUAUUCCCGUACUUGGUGUUACUGCGAAGGGGGGACGGAGAAGGCUAUGUUGGCCGGGCGACGGUUGUCCCGGUUUAAGCGUGUAGGYKKGUKUUCCAGGYAAAUCCGGAAAAUCAAGGCUGAGGCGUGAYGACGAGGCACUACGGUGCUGAAGCAACAAAUGCCCUGCUUCCAGGAAAAGCCUCUAAGCAUCAGGUAACAUCAAAUCGUACCCCAAACCGACACAGGUGGUCAGGUAGAGAAUACCAAGGCGCUUGAGAGAACUCGGGUGAAGGAACUAGGCAAAAUGGUGCCGUAACUUCGGGAGAAGGCACGCUGACACGUAGGUGAAGUGAUUUACUCAUGGAGCUGAAGUCAGUCGAAGAUACCAGCUGGCUGCAACUGUUUAUUAAAAACACAGCACUGUGCAAACACGAAAGUGGACGUAUACGGUGUGACGCCUGCCCGGUGCCGGAAGGUUAAUUGAUGGGGUCAGCGCAAGCGAAGCUCCUGAUCGAAGCCCCGGUAAACGGCGGCCGUAACUAUAACGGUCCUAAGGUAGCGAAAUUCCUUGUCGGGUAAGUUCCGACCUGCACGAAUGGCGUAAUGAUGGCCAGGCUGUCUCCACCCGAGACUCAGUGAAAUUGAACUCGCUGUGAAGAUGCAGUGUACCCGCGGCAAGACGGAAAGACCCCGUGAACCUUUACUAUAGCUUGACACUGAACAUUGAGCCUUGAUGUGUAGGAUAGGUGGGAGGCUUUGAAGUGUGGACGCCAGUCUGCAUGGAGCCGACCUUGAAAUACCACCCUUUAAUGUUUGAUGUUCUAACGUGGACCCGUUACCCGGGUUGCGGACAGUGUCUGGUGGGUAGUUUGACUGGGGCGGUCUCCUCCUAAAGAGUAACGGAGGAGCACGAAGGUUGGCUAAUCCUGGUCGGACAUCAGGAGGUUAGUGCAAUGGCAUAAGCCAGCUUGACUGCGAGCGUGACGGCGCGAGCAGGUGCGAAAGCAGGUCAUAGUGAUCCGGUGGUUCUGAAUGGAAGGGCCAUCGCUCAACGGAUAAAAGGUACUCCGGGGAUAACAGGCUGAUACCGCCCAAGAGUUCAUAUCGACGGCGGUGUUUGGCACCUCGAUGUCGGCUCAUCACAUCCUGGGGCUGAAGUAGGUCCCAAGGGUAUGGCUGUUCGCCAUUUAAAGUGGUACGCGAGCUGGGUUUAGAACGUCGUGAGACAGUUCGGUCCCUAUCUGCCGUGGAGUCUCCUGAAGGAACGUUGAAGACGACGACGUUGAUAGGCCGGGUGUGUAAGCGCAGCGAUGCGUUGAGCUAACCGGUACUAAUGAACCGUGAGGCUUAACCUU